GACGAACGCUGGCGGCGUGCUUAACACAUGCAAGUCGAGCGGUAAGGCCCUUUCGGGGGUACACGAGCGGCGAACGGGUGAGUAACACGUGGGUGACCUGCCCUCAGCUCUGGGAUGAGCCUGGGAAACCGGGUCUAAUACCGGAUAUGACUCCAUGACGCAUGUUGUGGGGUGGAAAGCCUUGUGCGGCUGAGGAUGGGCCCGCGGCCUAUCAGCUUGUUGGUGGGGUGAGGCCUACCAAGGCGACGACGGGUAGCCGGCCUGAGAGGGCGACCGGCCACACUGGGACUGAGACACGGCCCAGACUCCUACGGGAGGCAGCAGUGGGGAAUCUUGCGCAAUGGGCGAAAGCCUGACGCAGCGACGCCGCGUGAGGGAUGACGGCCUGG
rnacentral:rRNA from 1 species